ensembl:snRNA U6 U6 spliceosomal RNA
GUGCUCACUUCAGCAGCACAUAUACUAAAACUGGAACAAUACAGAGAAGAUUAGCAUGACCUAUGUGUAAUUUUUAUACAUUAAUUUAAAGUAUUUUAAAAAUUUAA